rnacentral:rRNA from 1 species
CCUACGGGUGGCAGCAGUGAGGAAUAUUGGUCAAUGGACGAGAGUCUGAACCAGCCAAGUAGCGUGAAGGAUGACUGCCCUAUGGGUUGUAAACUUCUUUUAUAUGGGAAUAAAAUGUUCCACGUGUGGGAUUUUGUCUGUACCAUAUGAAUAAGGAUCGGCUAACUCCGUGCCAGCAGCCGCGGUAAUACGGAGGAUCCGCGCGUUAUCCGGAUUUAUUGGGUUUAAAGGGAGCGUAGGUGGAUUGUUAAGUCAGUUGUGAAAGUUUGCGGUUCAACCGUAAAAUUGCAGUUGAAACUGGCAGUCUUGAGUACAGUAGAGGUGGGCGGAAUUCGUGGUGUAGCGGUGAAAUGCUUAGAUAUCACGAAGAACUCCGAUUGCGAAGGCAGUUCACUGGACUGCAACUGACACUGAGGCUCGAAAGUGUGGGUAUCAAACAGGAUUAGAUACCCCGGUAGUC